rnacentral:rRNA from 1 species
UACGAAGGGGGCUAGCGUUGUUCGGAAUCACUGGGCGUAAAGCGCACGUAGGCGGAUCUUUAAGUCAGGGGUGAAAUCCCGAGGCUCAACCUCGGAACUGCCUUCGAUACUGCGGGUCUCGAGUCCGGGAGAGGUGAGUGGAAUUCCUAGUGUAGAGGUGAAAUUCGUAGAUAUUAGGAAGAACACCAGUGGCGAAGGCGGCUCACUGGCCCGGUACUGACGCUGAGGCGCGAAAGCGUGGGGAGCAAACAGG